AGAGUAGCAGGGAUUACAGGCAUGUACCACCACACCCGGCUGGCCAGCACAUCCAAUUUACUUGUACAUUUUUACUGGACAUUUGCUGUACUAGUGACACUUUCACUCAGGGGAGUCACUUUUCAACUGAUAACUUUUUACACAAUCCCCUGCGCGUGCCCACCCACUGCAAUCCGCCUGGAAACUUCCACUGGCUCAGAAAGUUCUCCAACAGGAAGUGGUGGGUUAUUCAGUUCCAUAGAUAAUAUCUAAAACUAUUCAUGUCAAGUCUCACAAGUAGAUACACCAAAGGCUGCCCUAAGGAAAAACUCUGUGUCCUGUUGUAAUGGGAUAAGAAAUGUCACAUUGUCCCUUAUUAGACACCAAAGUUGCCUUGAAGGGGGAAUUUCAUGCAACAAGCAAAUAUGCCAGGUGGGCGGGGAGGGUAGAACGCUGUGUGCCUGUGAAGCCGAAUCAGACAGGGUCAGAACAAGACGCACAGUACCAGAAUGUUCUCUGUGUGUGGUCUGCCCAGGGCUGAGAAUUUACAAGGUCCAGAAAGAUCAAUAAGAGAGCUACAAACUUCUUGACUUUGUUUUUGGCAAAAAGUUCAGAUGUAUGGGGGUAGGAGGGUUUCAGGAAAAGCUUGAUCAAGUAGUUGCACAAAACCAGAACAUGUGGAGGAAGAGGCAUUGCCAGCCAGCUUGGGAAACUGACUCAAGGCAGAAUCGUUAGGUCUUUCCAACCAACUGAACCAGAAAAAUUCCUUCCAUGCCAGGGGGGCCUGGCA